rnacentral:lncRNA from 1 species
CUGCGUCGCCAUGGGGACCAUCGCGCGCGGGCGGGGCGCGGGCCUGGAAAAAUACAGCCUUUGUGGCGGCGCGUGUCACUCACGUCCCGGACCUCGGGCGGCGGGCUGGGCUCUGUUGCCCCAGCUGCAAGGCCUUGGCGGAGGGGCCCCAAAGCCAGCACCAGGAUCCCUGGACGCUCUCAAACGCCACAGCCGCUAGCCGGGUGUCACUCUCCAGCACUUCCCGGACCGAGCGUACAGCGGUCUCAUCCUCACAGCCAAUGUCCAGCCCAGAGUAGCACAACACAGGCUCAGUCAAGGCCCGAGAAGACUGGUCCUUAGCUUCGCGCAUCGUUCUGUACAUCUAGUUGUUCUGCGUCCACACUGUCCACAGAUCCGUGCGGGUUCCAAAGGCCUGAGCUGCUGGCGUAAACGUCAGCUACCAGCCACCCAGCAGCUUCAGAAAUACUCCUUAUGGAGUGCGGCCUGCAAAUGCUACGCAUACCAUUCAGGAGUGGCUUCGAACCCCUUUGUUCCGCACCCCCAAACAGCAUCCUCGAAAGCUAGGUACUUGUAGGCCCUCACAGUAAAUUGUCUCGUGCACGCGGCUAGCACACUGCACACACUAGCAGCGUGCUUCCCACGAGGUCACGUGCAGCAUCCUUUCCCGCCUGCCUCUCGCCGGCCUCUUCUCUGGCACUCGCCACGAACACUCACCAUGUGUGUGCGCAGGGUCUCGCACACGUGAACUUU